UGUGGCUUAAUUUGACUCAACGCGGAAAAGCUUAUCUGGUCCGGACGCAGUGAGGAUUGACAGACAGUUUCAGGAGUGGUUCUUGGUAAACAAUUGAGAGAGUUGAAGUUCUUUCAUGAUCUUGUGAGAGGUGGUGCAUGGCCGUUCUUAGUUCGUGUAGUGAUAUGUCUGCCUAAUCGCGUCACGAUAACCUAUUGGUCGACAACCCAAUUAUCACAACUGCAGCAUAACUCCCCUUGGGUGGGCGAGGCUCUGUGUAGGAUAGACCUCUGAACAGUACGCAACGAACGCGAUCGUAAUCCCUUGUUGAGUGGCCAUCCUGUAAGCUGCUGGAUUAGGAACCCAGUG
rnacentral:rRNA from 1 species